GGAUUGACACAUCGGUCGUGCCCUAAGGGGUAUGAACUGGUGUAGUCAAUUUCUCACCUUCUGGAGAACCGCGAUGCCCUUAAUUGGGUGUCACGGGGAACCAGGACCUUUACUUUGAAAAAAUUAGAGUGCUCAAAGCGGGCUCUUACGCUUGAAUACAUUAGCAUGGAAUAAUGAAAU
rnacentral:rRNA from 1 species